rnacentral:rRNA from 1 species
AACGAACGCUGGCGGCGCGCCUAAUACAUGCAAGUCGAGCGAGAAGACGUAGCAAUACGUUUGUAAAGCGGCGAACGGGUGAGGAAUACAUGGGUAACCUACCCUCGAGUGGGGAAUAACUAGCCGAAAGGUUAGCUAAUACCGCGUACGCUCCUUGGACUUCGGUUCAGGGAGGAAAGCGAUACCGUGGGUAUCGCGCUCUUGGAUGGGCUCAUGUCCUAUCAGCUUGUUGGUGAGGUAACGGCUCACCAAGGCUUCGACGGGUAGCUGGUCUGAGAGGACAAUCAGCCACACUGGCACUGCGACACGGGCCAGACUCCUACGGGAGGCAGCAGUAAGGAAUAUUGCGCAAUGGGCGAAAGCCUGACGCAGCGACGCCGCGUGGGGGAGUGAAGGUCUUCGGAUUGUAAACCCCUUUCGGGUAGGGAAGAUGGAACGAGCAAUCGUUCGGACGGUA